ensembl:lncRNA
GUUGUAGCUAGCAACUCUUGUAGAAGAGCCUCUUACAAGGUGGUGUAAUUAAAGGGAACAUUCAAAGCAUUUCAAAUAACCAAAAAACUAAGCAGCCCCCAAAUACAGGUAGAAUCAAAGAGGCUGGUGAAGAAAUAAACCCAGUGACCCUGAAGGCAUGAACAAAGAGAUUAAAUGCCAACUGGGGGAAAUGGGGGAAGAAUUAAUGGCACCAACAGUAGAAUAACAAACACAUUCAGGAGAUUUCAAAAAGUGAAUAACUGAGCUAGCAAAUUAUACGUGUUUUGUAAGCGUUUGGACUAAGGAGAAGUCUAUGUGGUUGGGAUGUCCUGUCUUGGUUUAAUUUACCACCACAGAAGUCAACAGGAGUUUCCUUCUUGUUAUCAGUCAUUGCUACCAGCAAGUAUUUGUGUAAUUCUGAAUGAUCCCACAUUCACCGUCAAAUGAGGAACGCUCCCAUCUUCUCAUUAAACUUGAAAAUGGGCUUGUAUACUAAAAUGUUCAUCUGCUUUGUACACUAUGUCAGCUGGUCCCAGCAGCAGUUUUGGAUACGAACCUUGUAUCCAAAGAUUUAUUUUCCUUCUGUAAGCUGACUGAGGUUGCACAGAGUACUCAGCAAUAUACGGAGUCUGCUAGUCAUCUCUGGUCAGAGCUAUUUAUCAAAUACCCUCCUUGGCUUCAAUUACAACACAAGUUAAUGGCUUCUCCAUCUGUUCACAGGGUUAAGCAGCGGCUCUAUCACCCAGAUUCUGUGUUUGGAAUAAUUUCUGGAAAGAAGCAGAAGCUUCACACUGUUUGCAUGAGAAAGCUCUUUUAAAUGGUAGAACUGGAACCAACUCAUCCUAAGGCUUUCCAUCAUUAUCAAGGUUCCUGUGGGUGCUGGUUCUGAAACAGUCAAUAAGCAAAUUGAUUUGAUCAGAACAAAUGAAAUAUAAUUUGAGUGGAAUAAUUUAUCAAGGUAAAUGGCCCUGUGAUGGUAAUGGGAACAGCACUGAGACUACUUCUACUCCACCCUGCUGUUUUACACAAAAUGCCACAUCCUACAUAGCUGCUACGGCUUACUUAAUAUGGAGGAAGCUGCAUAUGCAGGAAGUGAUUUCCGAGGGACGCUGACAGAAGGACCAUCAUGGUGGCAAACGGCCCAUGUUCUGUUGCUCCAGAUCUUCUUGGAGAGAUCUGGUAGAAGAGAUCUGUGCUGUGUGACAGUUGCCAAGAACUGUACAAGUCAGUGACGUGCUGGUGGGAAGAACAAAUGGGGCAGCCACGUUCCCAAACAGGCAGAGGAUCCCAGCCCCCACAACCACAUACGCUGCAAGUGUUAGAAGACCAAAUGCGGCAAACUUCUUGGGAUGUGGUGAAAGAUGGAUACUUCAUCUGCCUCUCUCCUUAUUAGCACUUUGAACUCAUACUCUGGUGUGAGAUCACGUUUGAGGAGACUGCAAAUGGUGGCACAGGCAGUGCUUUGCUCCCAAGGGAGGAAGACAUUUGGUGGACUAUUAUCUAUUUGGUAAACAAUUAACUCUUUAGUUUACUUUCCUGCAAAUGGAAAUAAUUGCAGGCCUAUGAUGGUGAUGUGUUUUCUUCCUCAGUUUCUCAAGAGUGACAUCUUUGUCACUCAGUUCCUUUCAAUUUUACAGUAUUUUUUGUGAAACCGUUUCUUUUUCUUUCAAGGGGCUUUGUCAGAACAAAGAACCUUGUUAGAUGUUAAGUAUCUUGUCAGUGAAAGCACACUGAAAAAGAAGUACACAUCCACAAGAUUUCAGUUCAGUUAUACCAGCCUUCCUGUUCCUGUAGUACCACUGAAUUCAUGAUGCUAUACCUGUAGACUAAUUCUCUUAGCAAUUUUGCCUUCCUCUGGACCUUCUCAUACAGGUAUAGCAAGGUUGCCAACAGCAAGCAAUUCCAGGUCAUGCUGCUCCACACUGCUCUAUCAGACCUAUUUCUAUUUGACGAGUGCUUCUGGCAUCUAAAAGUAACAUGGGAAAUCCCUGUUUUGAGGUAAUGCAGAAUGAGAGAUAAGUGGCUCUGCAAAACCCGAGGCUGGUGAAGUGAAUUUGGAUUAAGACCACAACCAAAAUAUUUUUGAAGUUCUUUUUCAUGUACAGAUGAAGACAUACACACAUGUAUAUCAUAAUUAUGCUUGACAUUUGUUUACUAUUUUGGUCUUCAUACCUGCAUGUGCAAUCUCUGCAGACAUCAGUAAUUAUAUUACUUAGCACAGAGAUGAACAAAUGUGGGUGUGCAUAAAGGAGUAACUGAUAGCAUCUUUUCAGAUAACUUACGAGUGCAGAGGCUGGGGGAAAAAAGUGAAAAUAAAGUAGGUAACUACUGGGCA